AUCAAACUCUUUUGAUAAUGGAUCAAAAAUAGGCCGAAAGAGAGUGUCUGAUAGAGAUAGCCCCUUUAGCAUUCAGCAUGUUUAGGUCAAAGGCUCGUUAGAUAAUAUGAAAAACAAGGUAGUGAGAAGUAUAGAGACAAAGAGUUCUAUUUCAAUUUUUGGGAAAGAAAACGCAAGUUUCAAGUUUGGAGAGAUGAGUAUGGCCGGGGAGAACACGAGACAAAGACCUACACUCAUGGAGAAAUUUCAACCAACAAGACCACCAGAUGUUGAGAUUAGGAGCUUUGAGCAUUCAAUGGUAGAGGUGGUGACGACUAUGAAGGGGCUUAUCAAUGGCAUUAAGUGUGACUCAACUACUAAAACUUUGGCCAAUAGUGACAGCAUGCUUGUGUAGGUAUCCGAUGAUGAGGCAAGCCUUAAUAUUGAGCCUAAUUGCUGAUGUUGAACUACUUGGGUAUGAGAAUCUUCUCUAUUUCCCUUUAAUUAUGAAUAUAAAAUUAUUCUUUUAGAACUAACAAGGAACUGGUCAUCCCCGUUUUCAUAAUUUUGUGAAAGAAUGCAUGAAGGAUUUUUCCACUGAUUUAAUUAGUCUAUUUAAGACUCGAAUUAGUGGGUCCAAGGCUGAUGAUAUUAUUGGCAAACUAGGUUAUCAAAAUUCUUUCAAAGUUGAAGUUGUUGGCUUUGUUGGGGGUAUCUAGAUUAUUUGGAAUGAUAGCAUUGAUGUUGAUUUCCUAGAUUUACAUCCCCAAAUGAUUCAUAUGAGAAUUCGCAGUAAAUAAGGGCCCUUCUAGUUUUUUAUGAUCAACUAUUUAUGCUAUUCCACAUUCAACAAAAAGGUGUUCUCUUCAGCAUUUUCUUAGAUUCAAUUGCAGGUUCAAUUGAUGAACCUUGGAUUACCGCUGGAGAUUUCAACUCAAUUUUGGAUAGUUCUUGCUAGAACAAGCUGUAACCUUUUCAGAUCGUUCUUAUUCAAAUACGGGCUUCAAGAUAUUUGGUUUUAUGGUCCUCGCUUUACAUGGAAUAGAGGCAAUAUUUUCCAACAGCUUGGUAGAGCCAUAUGCAACUCGAAUUGGCACCAAAUUGCUCUGUUUGACAUCUUCAUAGAUUAAAAUCUAAUCAUUGGCCAAUUUUGGUAUCUUUGAGCUCUAACUCUCAUAAUAUAGGUUUUUGUCCUUUUAGAUUUUUAGUAAGUUGGUUGCUACAUUCAGAGUUCAGGGACCUAGUUCGUAAUAACUGGAAGCAUGAUCUUGAGGUUGGUUCAAACUUGGAUCUGUUUAAGAUAGUGGCUCAAGACUUGAAUGAGCUUGUUUAUGGUAAUAUUUUUGCUUGGAAGAGGAAGUUGAUAGAAAAACUUAAUCGCGUACAGAGGAUUUUGAAGCUUCGAUCAUCAUGUCUACAAUCUCGUGAGAUUGAGUUGCGAAAAGAGAUUGAUGAUAUUUUAAAACAUGAGAAGCUUCUCUAGUUUUAGAAAUCACAGAUUGUUUGGCUUACGAAUGGUGAUAGAAAUACUAAGUAUUUUCAUAGUCGCACUUUAGCUAGGAGAAAGAGGAAUAAAAUUGAGGGAUUAAAAAUUUGUGAGUUAGGCUGGUGUUGUGGUACUGGUAUUUUAAAGCAACAUUUUGUGGAUUUUUUUUCCAGAACCUCUACACUAUUGAUAAUCAUGUAACAGGGACCUUCCCUUUUUUGAUAAGUUUCCUCCUUUAUCGGUAUAUGAUCGAGACAUGUUAUUGAUAGUGGCUACUAAUGAAGAAAUCUGUAGAGCUGUGUUUAGUAUGGCGUCUCUCAAAGCACAAAGGAUUGAUGGGUUUCACACAAAAUUUUACAAAUCACAUUGGGAAACUGUUGGCGAUUUUGUUUGUUCUCUUGAUAAAAAGGUACUUGGGGGCAUGUCUGGGAUCCCAAUCUCAACAAAACCUUGCUUGUUUUGAUUCCAAAAGUUUAAGGACUUGAAAACAUUUCUCGAUUUCAUCCAAUUAGCUUGUGUAUUGUUUUGUAUAAGAUCAUCACUAAAACCAUCGUUAAUCGACUUAGGCCGAUGAUGGAGAAUCUUGUUAAAAAAAACCAAGGAAGUUUCAUUGUAGGGAGGAAUAUAUCGGAUAACAUCAUUAUCGCACAAUAGGCUUUUCAUAUCAUGAAGACAGUCAAAUGAAGGAAAUGUUGGAUGGCUUUGAAGGUUAACUUGGAGAAAGCAUAUGAUAGGAUCUGUUGGGAUUUCUUAAAAGAUAUAUUUUGUUGGAUGCAGGUAUCCCAUCUUUUCUAAUUAAUGUAAUCAUGAAUUGUGUGUCUUCCUCUUCUUUACAUAUUCUUUGGAAUGGGGACAUCACUGAUCCUUUUUAUCCCACGUGAGGAAUACAGCAAGGGGCUCUAAUUUCUCCUUAUUUAUUCGUGUUGUGUAUGAAACAUUUUGGCCACCUAAUUGAUAGGGCAGUUGAGCAAAAAUGUUAGAGUCCUCUGUUAUUAUCAAGGCGAGGACCGACCAUUUCACAUCUUUUCUUUGCUAAUGUCUCAAUCUUGUUUUGUAAGGCAGAUAGGGAUCAAGCUGAACAUGUCAAUGUAAUUCUCAAUGCUUUUUGCCUCCUCUCUAGACAGAAGGUUAACAGAAACAAAACUCAAGUAUUCUUUUCUAGCAACACCCCGGAGGAAGUAGCUUGCGCAAUUUGUGGUGAUAUUGGAGUUUCGAGGGUGGAUGAUCUAGGUAAAUACCUUGGUAUGCUUAUUUUUCACAAGAGAGUUACAACAGAAACUUUUGAAUUUAUGGUUGAUAAGGUUCGAAACAAGCUCAAUCGUUGGGAGGUAAGGAAUCUCUCGAUGGUAGGAAAAAUUACUUUGGCUAAAUCAGUUCUCUUAGUUAUAUUUAGUUAUUUUAUGUGUACGACUCGUAUUCCUCUUUCUGUUUGUAAUGAAAUUGAGAUGCUGACUCAAAAUUUCAUUUGGGGAUUUAGUAUAGAGUCAAGAAAACCUGCCUUUCUAAAUUGGACUGAUUAUUGUAAGCCACUUGAUAAAUGGGGUUUUGGCAUCAGAAAUCUUGUUGAUCAAAACAAAUUUUUCUUAUUAAAGUUGGGCUUCAACAUUAUUUCCAAUCCUGAAAAUUUGUGGGUGCUUGUUUUGUGGAAUAAGUAGAAUGUUCAGAUAUUGAUGCUUAUCUCAAUUUCGAGGAGCAAUUGUUCUUUCAUUUGGCGGUCUAUUAUAAAGGUUUGGCCAGAGGUUAUUAGUGACACUUAUUGGUUGAUUGGUUAAUUUUUAGAAUGAUGUAUGGUUUAAACAAGUUGGUCCUCUUAAGUUAUUUUAUGAAGGACCUAGCUAGCCGAAUGAAACUCUCAGAGUGUGUGAUAUGAUUGAUGAUUCUGGAAAUUAGGACUGGUUUCAGGUUAACCUAUUGCUACCUAACCAUAUUCUUCUUUACAUUGUAGCUAUAUUACCUGCUUGUAAUGAUAUAGGGUAUGACCGAAUCACUUGGAAAUGGUCUGCCAACAAUUCCUUUUCUUUUGUUGAGUCUUAUAAGAACCUUUCCUCACUUGGUACUGUUGAUUCAUUUAUGAACUGGAACCUGAUUUGACGGAAUAAGGCCCCACAACGAGUUCGUGUUUUUCUUUGGAUGCUUUGGUAGAACCGGCUCUUGACCAAUGGUGAGUAGGCUCGAAGACACAUGACUAAUGAAGGACAUUGCCCUCGAUGCAACAAUUCCUUUGAGUCAGGAUUUACUUGGGCUAGAAGUAUUGUGAACUAAAGUUCAGUUGAGCUUUUUCGACAUUCAAAGGUCAUCCUUGCACAUUGGAUGCCAUCAAAGAUAGGGUGGAUCAAACUCAACAAGAUGGUGUUGUUUCGGCUCUUACUAAUAGUCCUUCGAUUGGAGGAGUUUUCAGAGAUUCUUGCGUGAAUUGGCUGUGUGGUUUUGCUAUAAGGACUGGGAAGGAUACAAUUUUCAAGGCGAAUCAAAAGUUGUUUUAGAAGGACUCACCAUAGCAUGAGAGACUGGUUUUAAGCAACUGGAGUUGGAACGUAAUAAUGCUUUGUUAGUUGAAACACUAAUAGCUAGAGAUGCUGCAAAAUGUUUACGCUUGAUCCAUCAACUCUUACGCCGCAACCGGGAAGUUCGGAUUCAACAUAUUCCCAGGGACCACAACAAAGUUGCCGAUCAUAUGGCUAAAAUUGCCAGCUUUAAUUACAACAACUUGUAGUUGUUUGAAGAACCUCCGUUCCUGGUCCAAGAACUACUUAAUGACCAUCUUGCUACUAUGUCCAAUAUCGCCUGUUAGUGUUUUCUUUACCUUAUAGCCACCAUUUUACUGUAUUUUUUCUAUCGAAAAAAUAAAAUUAAUGUAAUUAUCAUUAUCAAUUGA